ACUCAUUGAGUACUGUCAGGCCCUCAAUUCAGACCAACUGUACUUGGAACGAGUGGCUUAAAGGCAACAUCCAGAGCUUUCCAAAAAAAUCACAAAAUCUCUAUGUACUUAGUUUUCUAUUUUUUUUUUCUUUGGGAAAUCUGGUUUUUGAGGAACUCUCUUAUCUUGAGUCUCAUAACUGUCAUGUUAGCCUGGAGAAAAGGAUCAUCAACAAAGUCGGGGAAUUUUUUGCCCUUACUGGUCGUCUCCGUCGCUACCCUAUCCCAGAUCUACAUCCUGUUUCUUAUCACCUGCUCCAGGCGUUAUAAAAAUCAAUAUAGACGGUUCUUCUAGUGAAAAUUCAAGUUAAGAACGAGUCUGUCCAGUCUUGAGAAAUCAUAGGGGCAAAUGGAUUCGAGGCCCCUUCAAACACAUUCUGAUGGUUGUUUAUGUGUAGAUUUGUCUCAACCUCUAUCAAGCAUACCUAUAGGGAGGGGAACCAAUGUAUGGAUUGGUUAGUUCGGUUAGGGAGCAACUUUCAACAAGACAAUCUUAGAACUUCUUGUAAUAGGAAUAUUUUGUGUUUUUGUUUGAAACCCCAUCUUGUAUUGAGGCUCUGUUGAAACCUGAUGCGUACAUCACUGUUAUGUACGGAAUUUAUUUUAAUUAAUCUAAAAGUUGUCUUUUGAUAAUAAAAAAAGAAAUAUUCGUGGGAA